rnacentral:rRNA from 1 species
CUACGGGAGGCAGCAGUGGGGAAUAUUGGACAAUGGGGGCAACCCUGAUCCAGCAAUGCCGCGUGUGUGAAGAAGGCCUGCGGGUUGUAAAGCACUUUCGGUGGGGAAGAACGGGCUUGCGGCUAAUAUCCGUGAGCAAUGACGGUACCCAAAGGAGAAGCACCGGCUAACUCUGUGCCAGCAGCCGCGGUAAUACAGAGGGUGCAAGCGUUAAUCGGAAUUACUGGGCAUAAAGCGCACGUAGGUGGUUUGGUAAGUCGGAUGUGAAAUCCCCGGGCUUAACCUGGGAAUGGCAUUCGAUACUGUCGAACUAGAGUCUGGUAGAGGGUGGUGGAAUUCCAGGUGUAGCGGUGAAAUGCGUAGAUAUCUGGAGGAACAUCAGUGGCGAAGGCGGCCACCUGGACUGAGACUGACACUGAGGUGCGAAAGCGUGGGUAGCAAACAGGAUUAGAUACCCGCGUAGUCCG